rnacentral:rRNA from 1 species
GACGAACGCUGGCGGCGUGCCUAAUACAUGCAAGUAGAACGCUGAAGAGAGGAGCUUGCUCUUCUUGGAUGAGUUGCGAACGGGUGAGUAACGCGUAGGUAACCUGCCUUGUAGCGGGGGAUAACUAUUGGAAACGAUAGCUAAUACCGCAUAACAAUGGAUGACACAUGUCAUUUAUUUGAAAGGGGCAAUUGCUCCACUACAAGAUGGACCUGCGUUGUAUUAGCUAGUAGGUGAGGUAACGGCUCACCUAGGCGACGAUACAUAGCCGACCUGAGAGGGUGAUCGGCCACACUGGGACUGAGACACGGCCCAGACUCCUACGGGAGGCAGCAGUAGGGAAUCUUCGGCAAUGGGGGCAACCCUGACCGAGCAACGCCGCGUGAGUGAAGAAGGUUUUCGGAUCGUAAAGUUCUGUUGUAAGUCAAGAACGAGUGUGAGAGUUGAAAGUUCACACUGUGACGGUAGCUUACCAGAAAGGGACGGCUAACUACGUGCCAGCAGCCGCGGUAAUACGUAGGUCCCGAGCGUUGUCCGGAUUUAUUGGGCGUAAAGCGAGCGCAUGCGGUUUGAUAAUUCUGAAGUUAUAGGUUGUGGCUCAACCUUAUUCGCUUUGGAGACUGUCAAACUUGAGUGCAGAAGGGGAGAGUGUAAUUCCAGUUGUAUUGUUAAGUUUGUAAUAUGUGGAUGAUCAGCGUUGGCUAAGGCGUUUCUCUGUUCUGUGACUGACCCGUGGCGCGAAAGUGUCGCGGAUCAAUGUAUGAGUGCCCUUGAGUGUGUGGAGGUGUGUGUCUGAUUGUAUGCUGUUGUUGUGGUGCCUGGCUGUGUGGGGGCUGAAUAAUACAAAAUAAUGUCCGUUAUGUGUGUGUAUGAUUGUGUGGUUCCAUACAUACUGUGUUGUGUCUGUGUGGUUUUCUUUCUGUCUGUGUGUGUUGUGGCCUCGUGUCUGUUGUCUGUGUGCGUCGUGCGCUGUCGUU